rnacentral:rRNA from 2 species
GGGGCAAAAUGACAGGUGGUGCAUGGUUGUCGUCAGCUCGUGUCGUGAGAUGUUGGGUUAAGUCCCGCAACGAGCGCAACCCUUAUGACUAGUUGCCAGCAUUUAGUUGGGCACUCUAGUAAGACUGCCGGUGACAAACCGGAGGAAGGUGGGGAUGACGUCAAAUCAUCAUGCCCCUUAUGACCUGGGCUACACACGUGCUACAAUGGAUGGUACAACGAGUUGCAAGACCGCGAGGUCAAGCUAAUCUCUUAAAGCCAUUCUCAGUUCGGACUGUAGGCUGCAACUCGCCUACACGAAGUCGGAAUCGCUAGUAAUCGCGGAUCAGCACGCCGCGGUGAAUACGUUCCCGGGCCUUGUACACACCGCCCGUCACACCAUGAGAGUUUGUAACACCCGAAGCCGGUGGCGUAACCCUUUUAGGGAGCGAGCCGUCUAAGUG